rnacentral:rRNA from 1 species
GUAAUCCUACGGGAGGCAGCAGUGGGGAAUAUUGCACAAUGGGGGGAACCCUGAUGCAGCGACGCCGCGUGGGCGAGGAAGUAUUUCGGUAUGUAAAGCCCUAUCGGCAGGGAAGAAGAAAUGACGGUACCUGAAUAAGAAGCACCGGCUAAAUACGUGCCAGCAGCCGCGGGAAUACGUAUGGUGCAAGCGUUAUCCGGAUUUACUGGGCGUAAAGGGAGCGGAGGCGGCGCGCCAAGUCUGAUGUGAAACCCCGGGGCUCAACCCCGGGCAUGCAUUGGAAAAUGGCGGGCUGGAGGGCCGGG